GGCCAGACUCCUACGGGAGGCAGCAGUGGGGAAUAUUGCACAAUGGGGGAAACCCUGAUGCAGCGACGCCGCGUGAGCGAUGAAGUAUUUCGGUAUGUAAAGCUCUAUCAGCAGGGAAGAAGAUGACGGUACCUGACUAAGAAGCCCCGGCUAACUACGUGCCAGCAGCCGCGGUAAUACGUAGGGGGCAAGCGUUAUCCGGAUUUACUGGGUGUAAAGGGAGCGUAGACGGCAUGGCAAGUCAGAUGUGAAAGCCCGGGGCUCAACCCCGGGACUGCAUUUGAAACUGUCAGGCUGGAGUGCAGGAGAGGUAAGUGGAAUUCCUAGUGUAGCGGUGAAAUGCGUAGAUAUUAGGAGGAACACCAGUGGCGAAGGCGGCUUACUGGACUGUAACUGACGUUGAGGCUCGAAAGCGUGGGGAGCAAACAGGAUUAGAUACCCCCGUAC
rnacentral:rRNA from 1 species